rnacentral:rRNA from 1 species
CCCGUAAUCUACCCAGUUUUCAUAUCCAAAACGGAUAUCUGCGUUAAUUUUGGAGCUAAUACGUGCACCAACGUACCGCUAGCAAUAGUGGUAUGCACUUGUUAGUAUAAGGCCGACUGGGGCAACCCAAUUGGUGACUCUGAACAAUUUUUGCGGAUCGCAUGGUCUUGUACCGGCGACGUACUGGUCGAGCGGGUGCCCUAUCAACUAUUGAUGGAAGUCUAUGUGUCUUCCAUGGUUGUAACGGGUAACGGAGAAUCAGGGUUCGACUCCGGAGAGCUAGCCUUAGAAACGGCUAUCACAUCCAAGGAAGGCAGCAGGCGCGUAAAUUACCCACUCUCAAUUCGAGGAGGUAGUGACUAUCAAUAACGAGACAGAUCUCUUUGAGGUCUGUCAUUGAAAUGAGCACAACUUAAAGACUUUAACGAAGUCUAUGGGAGGGCAAGUCUGGUGCCAGCAGCCGCGGUAAUUCCAGCUCCCAACGUGUAUAUCGUCAUUGCUGCGGUUAAAAAGCUCGUAGUUGGAUCUUAGCUUAUGACAGUAGUUCACCAUGUGUGAUACUGCGUGUCUGAGCUGUUUCGCCGGUUUUCCUUGGUUUCGGCCUUGGUGACUGGUGUUGUAACUUUGAUUAAAUCAAUGUGAUUAAAACAGGCGUUUGCUUGUAUGCUUUAUCAUGGAAUAAUAGAAUAUGACUUCGGUCCAUUCUGUUGGUCUUGGGAUCGAAGUAAUGAUUAAAAGGAACAACUCGGGGGCAUCCGUAUCGCUGCGUGAGAGGUGAAAUUCUUGGACCGCAGCGAGACGACCUAUUGCGAAAGCAU